CUAGAUUUCGUUAAAGAUAUAUCAUCCUGCGUUCGGGACGCAGAGAUCGGAGGUUCAAAUCCUCUCAUCCCGACCA
rnacentral:tRNA from 1 species